CAUCCUCCAAGGCUAAAUACUCCUGACUGACCGAUAGUGAACCAGUACCGUGAGGGAAAGGCGAAAAGAACCCCGGCGAGGGGAGUGAAAAAGAACCUGAAACCGUGUACGUACAAGCAGUGGGAGCACAGGUUUACCUGUGUGACUGCGUACCUUUUGUAUAAUGGGUCAGCGACUUAUAUUCUGUAGCAAGGUUAACCGAAUAGGGGAGCCGGAGGGAAACCGAGUCUUAAUUGGGCGUUAAGUUGCAGGGUAUAGACCCGAAACCCGGUGAUCUAGCCAUGGGCAGGUUGAAGGUUGGGUAACACUAACUGGAGGACCGAACCGACUAAUGUUGAAAAAUUAGCGGAUGACCUGUGGCUGGGGGUGAAAGGCCAAUCAAACCGGGAGAUAGCUGGUUCUCCCCGAAAGCUAUUUAGGUAGCGCCUCGUGAAUUCAUCUCCGGGGGUAGAGCACUGUUUCGGCUAGGGGGCCAUCCCGGCUUACCAACCCGAUGCAAACUGCGAAUACCGGAGAAUGUUAUCACGGGAGACACACGGCGGGUGCUAACGUCCGUCGUGAAGAGGGAA
rnacentral:rRNA from 1 species